AGGUUGAGCGCGACUCGUGCGGCACGUUUCUUCAGUAUGAAUGAGCUCUCUGAUGGGAGAUGUUAGUAGAGGGGUGGAGCCACCUUCCUUCAUCUGUCACUGCCGAACCGGGAACGUGCGCUUUGUGUAAAAGACUAACACUGAAAAGAUGGCAGCUGUGGUUGGAAGAAGAAGCUUUUCAGCAUUGGAGAUGCCAUGAGCGAUUUCCUGGCAAGGUGAAGUCUAAAUGGGGCCAUAGAAACAGCACACAGACAUGAUUCACACCUACGAUCUCUGGAAUGCCAAGGGGUCCUGAAGAUUCAAAUGGAUCCCAGCAUGUAGAAGCGUUCUCUGCCAUGUUAACCAUAACAAAUCUGCUAAUGAUUAUAUCGGAUGAAAACUAGGCCAACACGAAACAUCAGCGUGUAUGUGAGUAUUAAAAAGAGACUUUUUUCAGGUUGCCGUACAGCAGUCCUCUCUUCUUUUGAACAUCAGCGUGAACAAAGCGGUCUAAAUUAGACACAAGGCACGUCAGCGUCUCUCUCUGCAGACCCUGCGUGAGGGUGCCAGUGUGCAAUCUCCAGCUUAAAUGACAGAGUAAUAAAGGUCCUGCAAUUUUAUGCUCGCAGACGAGCCCUGCUUUUUGAAUUAAGCAUCUCUGAUGGAGAAAUAAUACUUCUGGCUCUCCUCCGCUAUCACUCUCUUGUGAUUUCGUGGUUCUUUUACAUAUUCAGCCGCCGUACUUACGCCUGUCACCUCUCCGCUGAAUAUGUGAAGGUGUCUGAAACGCUUAAGGAUCAUGUGUCAUAAUUUCAUCCCUCUCUGCCUGUGUUGUCGUGGAAAAAUGCGAAUCGAAUGCGAAAAAUAUUACCUUUAUACGCUCAUCAUUUGUAUGCCAUUUCCACACUUUUUUUCUACUUGCGCUUGACACGCGCACACAGACCCAACAUCAAUCAAGAAACAGAUUCGUAUGUGCUGCCUGGCUUCAUCUGGAGUCACUUAAUCAAAUUCUGGAUCACAGUUGGUGGGUCAGCCAAAGGAGCGUGAGCGAGGGGAAGCCAGUUGAUGAGCUCCAUGCCCUGGGUCUUCUAAAUCCCUCUAGUGCUCAAAUUCAAUUUGAGACGCUGGGGCGAAAAGCAUGUUGGGGUCUCCUGUUGCUCUGGCCCUUUAGUUUGAAAUAGGUUCACGGUUCUCAUCUAAAAACUAGUCACCUGCAUAGACCCAGGCACAGUGGCGCAUAUGAGUGAGGCUCUUGAGGGAUAGCUAAGUUUAUCCAACAGUCCGCUGGGUGGCCUGGCAUGCUAACAACAACAUAUGACAUUCCUCACGAUGCAGAGAGUGGGAGAGGUAGUCCAUAUGAGCUUGUAGAGGGCAGUCCUCUGCAUGAAAUAUUCACCAUGCCAGCAGUCGUUCGCACGCAGACGUCUCGCAGACCACAUACGCACAUAUUUCCGCCAAAGCAGAUGGUUUUGGAGCACAAAGAGCCUCCGCAAGCGUGCGAUUGUGAUACUGCAAUGAAGAAUAACAGAAUUAUGCGAAGCUUGAUGGGGAACAUCCAGCUAGGCAAACCUGCAGAUCAAUUAUUGAAGUACACCGGCAAAAGAAAAGUAAACAGAUAUGAAUCUUUUAGUGGGCAAUGUCAAGUUUUACACUGUGGAAAAUGUGAACUGAAAGAAGAAGACAACGAAGCACCAAGCGAUGGCACUACAUAACAUUGACUGCAGAAGCCAAAGUGCGCUAAAGAUUCAAGUGACCACAUGUGCAUGGACACAGACCUGCAUCUGCUGUUAUAGUUAAGGCCAGCCAGUGGUAGCAGCGCGUCACUGUUAGCACAGCAUGAUGAGCUGGGACUUUCACGUCAGUCCACGUGUGAAUUUGUGUGAAUGUGUGCUAUAUAAAGAUCAGUCAGCUAUAAAUAAGAUGGGUCGGGCCUAACGCAUGCAUGUAGUAAGUAACAUCCAGAGUAUGCAGCAUAUGACACUGUUGUUUUUAUGCUCAGCUUUAUGUCUUUAUACAAUACGAUAUGAAACUAUAUUUGACGACAUGAUGAAUUUUAAUAAAAUUAGGAGCCAUCCAUAAAAGCCAACUAAAUAUAAUAACACAUGAUUUUGCAAUUGCAAUUCGCAAUUUAUAUGAUAAAAUAUUAUGUUUUUUAUGCUUACUUUACUUUACCUUUUGGUCAAAUGAUUGACCUUGAUGAGCAUAUAAAACUUUUGUAAACAUCAUCUUGGUUUGUGAGGGUGUGAGUAUCAUGAAAAUCUUUUUUGAUCCCAAGGCACCUCUAUCUUAAUCUCUCCUUUUAUCUUCCAUAACGCUCUUUCUUUCCUUGAACUCCUGAACUCAUGUUUACAAAAUGUAACCGGAAUAUCUGAGCGGUCUAACAUAACGGCGCAUGCUGUAUAUUAGAGUAUGUUUAAAUAAAUGCUUUCAUAUCUCUCUGACAAUGUCUUUCUGAUGCACUGCCGGUGGGUAAAACAGACACACACAGAUUCAUUGUGACUUAUGUGAUGGUGAAAAACAUUACUCGGUAACAGCAGCGAUUAGUUUUAUAUGUAUAAUUUAGUUUAUGGCGAUUAGAAUCCUCGACUUACCUUGUCUUGUCUGUUUAUGUGUGUAUGUGUACUCUAGAAGUGUGAAACUCUAAAUGAUAUGUGAUAUAAGAAGGCCUCCUAACACCCUGCCUAACACCAAUGACUUGUUUCUAUGGAUACAGUGAAGUCACCGAACGCAAACAUGGGAGUGUUUGAUUGUGGGAAAUAGGCGUUACGUCAUUCGUGUAAUAAGAAAAGUGAACGGAUAUGCCAUCUGGCACCACCUAAUCCAUAGUUGAUCCAUAUUAUACU